rnacentral:misc_RNA from 1 species
UGCUGCGGUACGAUGGCACG